UACGUAGGGUGCGAGCGUUAAUCGGAAUUACUGGGCGUAAAGCGUGCGCAGGCGGUUUUGUAAGCCAGAUGUGAAAUCCCCGGGCUUAACCUGGGAAUGGCAUUUGGGACUGCAAGGCUUGAGUGCGGCAGAGGAGACUGGAAUUCCUGGUGUAGCAGUGAAAUGCAUAGAUAUCAGGAGGAAUACCGAUGGCGAAGGCAGGUCUCUGGGCUGACACUGACGCUCAUGCACGAAAGCGUGGGGAGCAAACAGG
rnacentral:rRNA from 1 species